rnacentral:rRNA from 1 species
ACAACUUUCAGCAAUGGAUCUCUUGGUUCUCGCAUCGAUGAAGAACGCAGCGAAUCGCGAUAAGUAAUGUGAAUUGCAGAUUUUCAGUGAAUCAUCG